UGUCGUAAUUUCCGUGAGCGAAUGUCAACAAUUCCUGAAGAGCAGUGGGAAGCUGCUGGGAUGUGCUUUCAGAUGCCUACUUGCUGAGCUCUGAAUUUACAGUAUUGUUUAUCAGAUUUCUCAGUAUUUACACUCACUUUCCAUUCCAGUAAACAGAUGACAUAUUAUAUGAUACUACUGUUCAAAAACCCCAAGGAAAUGAAAACCAGAAACUCUCUGCAGCAGAAACCCGCAGACACAAAAGAUGCUGAGCUUAGGUUCCUUCCAAUGUCUUUUUACUCUGUCCAUUAUUUAUAGGCAACACAGUUCAUUUGUAUUUAAAGUAGCUACAAACACUGCUGGUAGACAGGCAUUGCUCAGUAGGGUCAGACUCUCAGUAUUUUUAACUCAGAACCUGUCUUCUACAGUGACAGUUUCCAGAUGCUUUAGAAGAAAUAUUUCUGUAACGGAUGAUAAUAGGAAAGCCGGCCCCCAAAUCAAAUUCUUCUUUACUGAAGGAACUCAGCUUGUGACAAGGAGCCUGAGGAAUACACUCUGUGUGUUUUGAAACGCAGUUGACUGGAGAAAGAGAGCAUGUCCCUGUUUGUACAUCUGUGCCUAGCUCUGACUGAAUCCUGUGUGACUCUGGCACUCACUGUCAUCCUGGAGCAGGUUGCCCAGACUAGCUGCUAAAGAAUUCUCUUUAAAGACCAUCUUUGAGCUCAGCCAUGUAAUUUUAGUAGAGGAUCUGCUCUGAUACAUGUUAGCAAGAGGGUGACACUCCUUGUAUUUCCAUGGUGAGCCAACCUAGACCUCUAGGGCUGCUGUUAUUCUUGUGUUUCCUGUUUUGUAUGCAUUUAUUUUUUGUUAACAGCAGAAGUUUUCCUCUUUCCUAGAGCACAGAAGAAGACAAACCAUCAAAGACAAGCACAUUCACUGAGGUGACAAAGCCAUCGGUAUGAGCUCAUUCAUUCUGCAUCUGGACUUUGAAGCAUCUGCACAGCGAUGAGGGCCCUAUCUGAAAGAGCUGUGUGUUACUUUUUAAGGGAAUGAGCAAGUGUACAACCUCAUUAACAUGAGUUACUGUUGUUAAAUGGCCAGGAGAUAUGAAAAGAAGAAGCAGGUUGGCAGGCUCUUGUGUUUCAUGUGCCAAAUGAGUAUGGAAUUGAAGAGGUUGCCGUGAAAAGGAAACUUCUUCCACUAGUGAUUUAUACUAGUGCAAGAAACACUAGUGAUUUAUAGCGUGAGCGCCUUAAGCAUAAACCAGAAAUACUUUAGGGCUUAGGAAAGACUGAGAUUUAAUAUGUAUUUCUGUGAUGGUAAAGUAAAUUCUUCUUUUUUUAAUAGCAUCAUCUGUAAAGUUUCUUUUUAAAGAGGUCAGUCCACUAGAUAUACAGCAGAUACGGGAUAUGGAAAGCUCAGCUUUCUAAAAGCCACUACAGAUGUAGUCCCUAGUCCCGGUAUCUGUGGCUAAUCUCACAACUAUUCACAUAUGCUCUGCCCAAGAUACAUGAUUUACAAUAUAAACCAUAACCCAAAACAACCUUUUUAUCAACCAUCUGCUGCAGUCUGAGGUUUACCCAAAUAAGAAUGGUUAUGGUGCUUAGCUCUCAGCGGAUUUUGUGGAAAGCAGAAAACACAUCCAUUCCUCAUCUUAAGGUCCAGGAUAUUCCAUGACAAAGCUCCCAUCCCUUUGUUAGAGAGCCCCGGUCCAUGAGAAGCAAGAACUGAAUUGUCUAACAUUUAUGGGACAUAGCUGCAAGACAGACAAAUCCCCUCUGGCAACCAGGCCCUUCUGUGCGAGGUGAUGUUCAUACGUGCUCAGGACGGGACUGUUCUGUUCCAAGGACCUCAACAGACUUGGGAAAUGAAAAAUUAUAGGUGA